rnacentral:rRNA from 1 species
GACGAACGCUGGCGGCGUGCUUAACACAUGCAAGUCGAACGAAGAGGCGAACGGGUGAGUAGUACGUGGGUAACGUACCCUCCUUAUUGGGAUAAGCCUUGGCAACGGGGUCUAAUACCGUAUAAAGGGGGAGGGGCUCGUGGCCUAUCAGCUUGUUGGUGGGGUGAUGGCGUACCAAGGCGGUGACGGGUAGCCGGCCUGAGAGGGCGAACGGCGACAUUGGGACGGAGGUACGGCCCAUGCUCGUACGGGAGAGAGCAGUGGGGGAUAUGGAAGAAUGGUCGAACGCCUGAUGCAGCGACGCCGCAGGGGGUAUUAAGGCUUUCAAGUUGUAAUCCUCUUGCGCUAUAGAACGGGUAGGUAGAGAAGAAGCGCCGGCUAACUACGUGCCAGCAGCCGCGGUAAUAC